rnacentral:rRNA from 1 species
GACGAACGCUGGCGGCGUGCCUAAUACAUGCAAGUCGAGCGGACUUAAAAAGCUUGCUUUUUAAGUUAGCGGCGGACGGGUGAGUAACACGUGGGCAACCUGCCUGUAAGACUGGGAUAACUUCGGGAAACCGGAGCUAAUACCGGAUAAUCCUUUUCUACUCAUGUAGAAAAGCUGAAAGACGGUUUACGCUGUCACUUACAGAUGGGCCCGCGGCGCAUUAGCUAGUUGGUGAGGUAACGGCUCACCAAGGCGACGAUGCGUAGCCGACCUGAGAGGGUGAUCGGCCACACUGGGACUGAGACACGGCCCAGACUCCUACGGGAGGCAGCAGUAGGGAAUCUUCCGCAAUGGACGAAAGUCUGACGGAGCAACGCCGCGUGAGUGAUGAAGGUUUUCGGAUCGUAAAACUCUGUUGUUAGGGAAGAACAAGUACGAGAGUAACUGCUCGUACCUUGACGGUACCUAGCCAGAAAGCCACGGCUAACUACGUG